AACUAACAGGAUUCCCCUAGUAACUGCGAGUGAAGCGGGAAGAGCUCAAAUUUAAAAUCUGGCGGCUUCGUCGUCCGAGUUGUAAUUUAGAGAAGCGUUUUCCGCGCCGGACCGUGUACAAGUCUCCUGGAACGGAGCGUCAUAGAGGGUGAGAAUCCCGUCUUUGACACGGACGCCCGGUGCUUUGUGAUACGCUCUCGAAGAGUCGAGUUGUUUGGGAAUGCAGCUCAAAAUGGGUGGUGAACUCCAUCUAAAGCUAAAUAUUGGCGAGAGACCGAUAGCGAACAAGUACCGUGAGGGAAAGAUGAAAAGCACUUUGGAAAGAGAGUGAAACAGUACGUGAAAUUGCUGAAAGGGAAACGCUUGAAGUCAGUCGCGUCCGCCGGGAUUCAGCCCUCGUGGUGUACUUUCCGGUGGACGGGCCAGCAUCACUUUCGAUCGCCGGAGAAAGGCAGAGGGAAUGUGGCACCCUCGGGUGUGUUAUAGCCCUUUGUCGUAUACGGCGGCCGGGAGUGAGGAACGCCUUUGUAGGAUGCUGGCGUAAUGGCUUUAAACGACCCGUCUUGAAACACGGACCAAGGAGUCUAACAUGCCCGCGAGUGUUCGGGUGGAAAACCCGUGCGCGUAAUGAAAGUGAAAGUUGGGAAGGCUGUCGUGGCCUGCACCGACGCCCGGACCUGAGAUUUAUCGACGGUUCUGCGGUAGAGCGUGUAUGUUGGGACCCGAAAGAUGGUGAACUAUGCCUGAAUAGGGUGAAGCCAGAGGAAACUCUGGUGGAGGCUCGUAGCGAUUCUGACGUGCAAAUCGAUCGUCAAAUUUGGGUAUAGGGGCGAAAGACUAAUCGAACCAUCUAGUAGCUGGUUCCUGCCGAU
rnacentral:rRNA from 1 species